ACUUGGGAGGCUGAGGCAAGAGAAUGGCUUGAACCCAGGAGGUGGAGUUUGCAGGGAGCUGAGAUUGCGCCACUGCACUCUGGUCUGGGUGACAGAGCUGACAGAGUGGAGGGACCCUACUUUGGCUAAACUAGAAAGAUCAGGUUUGAUAUCACAGCCCUUCAGUUAUCACCCAUAUCACCUCACCCAUACAGAACACGGGGCAGAAGAGGAGAGCUAGCCCUGCUGUUUCUGGCUUUAGCUCACAGUAAGGGAGGAAGCAAAAGUGGUUUCUCAGGAGCCAAAGAUGAUUUCCCUAAGAGCUUUCCUUAAAGCUCAUAUACUACACUCCUAGGAGACGUCCCCUAGCUUUUACUCAGGUAAACUCUAAUUUUUGUGAACUCUAAUUUCACCCACAAUUUUAACGAACUUGGCAUGGGGUCUUUUAGCCUGUAGAUGUAGCAAUUGGUGGCAGUCUGCACAGUACCUGAUACACAGUUGGUGAUGGAUAAAUGCUGGUGGACCUGGACUAUGAGAGGACAUUUCACAGGCAGGGCAGCUAGCAGCCUGAUUGCAAGGAAGGAGACAGAAACAGUCUGAAAAGCAGCUGUAAUGGUACAGAAGUAGUGGGGACACUCAGAGUGGGAGCAGACACAGUCCUGUCCCUCGGUCGGCCUGUUUUUGUAAUUUUAUCAGUGUGGCCACACAGUAUUUAUUUAUAGCCUGAUUUUAGCUGCAGCCGAGUGUUUAGAUGCACGCUGCUGUAGGAGUGAGGCAGGGCAGACCAGCCACAGGGGAGGGAAGGGAUAAUGUGAUUUCUGUGAUACAUGCAGACGAUAAAGAGUAUCAUCCCUUGGCAGGAAGUUUGUAAAUGAGCCUCAGAGUGGGACCUGUCAGUGAGACAAGGUUGAGCCUGCAAAUCCCAGCUGUCUGAGCGGAGAGGGCGUUAGACCUCAUGUUGUCUGGCCUAGCACUGAGUCUAAGGAGCUGGGAAACCCAGAGAAGGAAGAGUCCUCCCCCUGCCCCUAGUUUGUCACGGCUCCACUCCCAGUAGGCGGCCAAACUAUUGCAAGAAAUGUCUGUGGCAUGCACUGCCACAUCCAGUUAAUUUUUGUAUUUUUAGUAGAGGUGGGGUUUCACCAUGUUGGCCUGGCUGGUCUCGAACUCCUGACCUCAGAUGAUCCACCUGCCUCGGCCUCCCAAAGUGCUGGGAUUACAGGUGUAAGCCACAGUGCCCGGCACUUCAUUUCACUUUUGUUAUAUUCUACAAAUAUUUGGUGAGUAGGGCUCUCUACUAGGUGGUCUACCCUGGACCCCUGAGCUUCUUCACCCUGCAACAUCUAAUUAGAUGAAUGAGACUGUCUUGACCUGAAGGAAGCCACGGUCCAGUGCCAGGGCUGGAGGAAUAACUGGGUCAGGCAAGGAGUGCUCUGAGAGGAGCAGAAUCUCAACUGUGCCAUCCCCUCCCAGGCCCCCCAUCCCUCACAAUAUGUAUGUCCAUCUAAUGGCCUUUGCAAAGAUGUCAUUAGAUAUCGUUUUAAGAGGGAAAAUCUAGUUCUGGACCAGAUCCACAUCCUAUCCCUUUUAGGGUAGUUAAAAGGAAAAGUAAGGACCUGGGGAGGCUGGGCCACAUGCACUACAGCGACCGUCACCCACCCUUUGGGUGGGAACCACCAAGGGGGUAUGGGGACAAUAGGCGUGAACUUUCCCCUUGACAUGUGGGCGUAUCUCUCCUUUGAGGUUGGGCUCUGGCUCCAUCUGGAAACCCCUGUGCCACACUGGGAGGAGCUGAGACUCCCCAAGCCCAUUUAACAGGUGACGGCAUUGCUGCUGGGUGGGGCAGUGACUCAGCAGCUUCACACAGUGGGACUGGCCGGGCUGAUGCGCCCCUUCCCUAUGUGGCACUCAGCCGCUGGUGCCUUUUCCCUUCCCAGUUCUGAGACACUGAGAUGCCCAUUUAUGAGACUACAGAGAAGGGGACUGAGGGGCACUACUUUGCCCUGUCACAAAGCUGCCUGUCCCUACCCCAGACUUGUCUACCAUGGCCCAGGGGCAUUAGGAGAGCCUGACAUUUGCUGGGCACCUGUUCUAUCCUGGGCAUUUAAAGAUAUGUGUGUAUGUGUGUGUGUGUGUGUGUGUAUGUAUAAUUUAAAGUGUGUAUGUGUGUGUGUAUAUAUAUUUAAAGUCUGUGCGCGUGUGUGUGUGUAUAUAUACAUAUAUAUAUAUGUAUGUAUAUAUAUAUAUAUACACACACACACACACACACUGUCUAAAGAAACAAAAUCGACUAAUAUAAAAUCCUAAAAGGAAAGUGGGGAAAUGGAGAAAAAUAGGAAAAGAAAAAGUACCUUUAGUUUAAUCACACAACUGCUAAUAUAUUGCUGUGUUUGGGUGAGAUUGCCUUACAUAGGUGCAAGCAUAUUGUGUACACAAUUUCGUAUUUUCCCUCUUUUAAAAAUUUUUUAUUUUUGCAGAGAUGAGGUCUCCCUAUGUUGCCUAGGCUAGUCUCAAACUCCUGGGCUCAAGCAAUCCUCCUGCCUUGGCUUCCAGAGUGCUGGGAUUACAGGAGUGAGCCACUAUGCACGGCCCUCCCUCCUUUUUUUUCUAGUAUUCUAAAUUUUAUUUUAAAUUGUAGUGAAAUACACAUAACAUAAAAUGUACCAGCUUACCCAUUUUUUUGGUGUAUGGUUCAGUAGCGCUAGUGUUCACACUUUGCCACCCUCUCCUUUUCUUAGCGUAACUCACUCCAUCAGGAACACUUGUGGGUGUGGACAUGGGUUCCUCAUUUUCGGCGACACCGAUGUUCAUGGCCACACAGUUCUCUAGCUUGUGAAUUUGGUGACUAUGCUGUGAUUUUUUUGCCCAAUCCCCCAUUGCUGAACAUUUAGGUUACUGACAAUUAUUUAUUAUUCUGGACAGUAACACCAUGGGUAGAUCUUUGACUAUAAAGGUUUUUCACUUGGGGAUGAUUUCUUUGGGCAGAGGAGGCUAAUGGCUCUUUUCCAGGGGAGGAGGCAUUUCUGGGUGAAAGAGUGAGGGCAGUUCUUUAGCCACAGGCACUAGCAGCCACUUUGGGAUCCCCCAUAGUCCUCUGGUUGGGCAGGAGCUUUUUCACACAGAAAGGAGGGACCCCAGAAUGGCCUGGAAGGAUCAGGGCCUGUGGGUGGGGCCCUGCUGGAAACCAGAGCCUGCUCUCUGACUUUGUGAAAGGCCUUGCAGCCCAGCAAACUGCUGUGGCCUUGAAGGCCCUGGACAUCCUGCCUUUGCUGCCACCAAGUACCUUCCCAGCACCUGCCUGGCUGCAUCUGUCAGAAGAAGUGAGGACGGAGGCUCUCCCUUUCCUGAUUGAGAAAGCUCUUUAAGACCUGGUGUUCCCUGUAAAAAGCAGAGAGUCUAGCAGUGCGUCUGGUCGGCAACUCAUUGUGAAAAGUGGGGAAAUAAGCAUUUAUACUGGCACAGGCUUGUUGUACUAACAACAAAAAUCUGUGGACGGAUGCACAGGGAGCUCAUUAAAGUGGUUGCCUGUUGGGAGGAUGAGAGAAAAGAGAUGGGUGAGGGAUGAGGCUGAGCGUCUGUGAAUGUUUUCAGGAUUGAUGUUUUUAUACUGUUUGAUUUUUGAACCAUAUGAAUGUAUUAAUUAUUCAAAAAUUAAAUCAAACAAUUAAAAAUGAAAAAGAUGACAUUUAUUUCAAGUCCCAUGAAGAAUUUUUCCCUGAAUCCCAGCUACUUACAUCAUCCCCUGAGAAGCAGCAAUGCUGCCUGUUUGCUGAGUGCCUGUUCCGUGCCAGGCAUGGUGCCAUUCAGUCCACAUGCUCCCAAACCCAUCUUCAGUGUCUUCCUGACUCUGUGAUGGGACCUAAGGCACGGCAGGAUUAGGACCAGACCAGGGUCACCUGUGCAAGGUAGAGCAGGGACUCCCACCCAGGUCUGUCGAACUCUAUUGCCCUCUGCCCCUGAAUUCUAGAGAGUUUGUUCUUGCUUCUAUUUUAAUUUCUGUAGGAUGAAAGGACGGCUCCCUACAUGUUAACAUUGGUGUCUAUGGGUUUGGAAGUAGGAUUCUCUCCAUCCCUCAUCUAAUUUUCUGCAAGUCAAUACAGAGUACCUGUGUCAUUAAAAAGAAAAUAUUUAAAAAGAAAACUAAGCAAUUCCUGCUUUCAAGACUGAGGGGUGUUUCUACGCCAAAUUUGUGGUUUGCUAGCACGCCCUUUCCACACCCUCUGUGCAUACUUUGUGGUACAUGGGCCUCUGGUGACCAAGAACUUGGUUCAUCUGUGCCUGUUCCACAGAACGUGGCUGGCUGCUCAGGUGUUAGAAGAUGCAGAGAAUGCCUCCUCCACUGAUGUUCAGCAUUGCAUGUUAUACUCCACCAUUAGAGAAUCAUUCCUUUGGUUUCAAGUAACAAGAUGACCUAUGUUAUCUCACUGAAUUCCAGCAAUAGUCCUGAGAGGUCAGUAUUCUUAUUACUGUUUUACAGAGAGGAAACUGAGCCUCAUGGAAGGGAUGUGGGCCUGGGGGAUGCCACAAGGAUGGAAUUUCGGACUGGGCUAGGCCUGGAUGCCACCUUCCCAGGUCUGGGUCAGAGAGCCCUUUGCAGUUAAUGGGAGGGUGUGGUGGUUUGCUGAGGCCUGGCAUACUGAGCAAUGGGUGAUGGAGCAGGCAGGAGAGUGACAGCUCCUCCCACUUGUGUUGACAGGCCACCCACCAUUGGGCAACAGGAAGUGCCAGCUGGAGCCCUGGAGACCAGCAGCCAGUGUGGGGAUGCGGUGGCCAGAUGGAACUCAGGGCUUCCCAGCUGUGGAAACAGGAACGGGAAACAGUCACACUGGGGAGGAAGUGAGGAGGUGAUGGGCUGAGGCAAGAGCAUGCCUGCAUGGCUAGAAAGAGUGACCAAGGUUGAGAGUAGUUGGAGACAAGGUCAGAAAUAGAACAGCGGCCAGGCGGGGUGACUCACGCCUAUAAUCCCAGCACUUUGGGAGGCUGAGGCGGGAAGACAACUUGAACCCAGGAGUUCAAGACCAGUCUGGGCAACACGGUGAAACCACUUCUCUAAAAAAAAAAAAAAAA